AUUGCCCUAGUAACGGCGAGUGAAGCGGCAACAGCUCAAAUUUGAAAUCUGGCCCUCGGGUCCGAGUUGUAAUUUGUAGAGGAUGCUUUUGGUGAGGUGCCUUCCGAGUUCCCUGGAACGGGACGCCAUAGAGGGUGAGAGCCCCGUCUGGUCGGAUACCGAUCCUCUGUAAAGCUCCUUCGACGAGUCGAGUAGUUUGGGAAUGCUGCUCUAAAUGGGAGGUAUAUGUCUUCUAAAGCUAAAUAUUGGCCAGAGACCGAUAGCGCACAAGUAGAGUGAUCGAAAGAUGAAAAGCACUUUGAAAAGAGAGUUAAAAAGUACGUGAAAUUGUUGAAAGGGAAGCGCUCAUGACCAGACUUGGGCUUGGUUGAUCAUCCAGGGUUCUCCCUGGUGCACUCUUCCAGCCCAGGCCAGCAUCAGUUCGCUGUGGGGGAUAAAGGCUUUGGGAAUGUGGCUCCUCCGGGAGUGUUAUAGCCCAUUGUGUAAUACCCUGUGGUGGACUGAGGUUUGCGCAUCUGCAAGGAUGCUGGCGUAAUGGUCAUCAGCGACCCGUCUUGAAACACGGACCAAGGAGUCGUCUUCGUAUGCGAGUGUUCGGGUGUUAAACCCCUACGCGUAAUGAAAGUGAACGCAGGUGAGAGCUUCGGCGCAUCAUCGACCGAUCCUGAUGUUCUCGGAUGGAUUUGAGUAAGAGCAUACGGGGCCGGACCCGAAAGAAGGUGAACUAUGCCUGUAUAGGGUGAAGCCAGAGGAAACUCUGGUGGAGGCUCGCAGCGGUUCUGACGUGCAAAUCGAUCGUCAAAUAUGGGCAUGGGGGCGAAAGACUAAU
rnacentral:rRNA from 1 species